ensembl:lncRNA
GCUCUCAUUUAAGAAGACCCAGGAAGGGCCCUCGUUGUACCUGGCAGGGACGUGCCCGGUGUGGCAGAGCGUGCCGCCGGCUGUCAGCCGUUCCCUGUAGCUCGGGUGUCCUGCAGCUGCUCUCCUGCAGUGCAUCAUUUGGACAACUUACAAGGUGGCUUCUCCAGGGUAGACAUAGAUACACGCAUGUCUGAAGACCAACAGAAGACCAGCUGGUGGGAUCGUAAAGACAACUUUCCUACAAAUGUUACAGACACAAUACCAGGAACACGGGAAGAUUGAUACUUGGCAAGAUGAUGGACUUCAAAAAUAACUUUGGAUUCUCUGACCUGCUUCACUAAUGCACGCUGCAGUAAAACCAGG